rfam:Caenorhabditis brenneri strain PB2801 C_brenneri-6.0.1_Cont1343.1, whole genome shotgun sequence.
GAUUGGAAGGUUUAACUUACUCGAAAGAUGACUCAAUCCCUUCUUUCUUAUCUUUCUCCAUUUUGAUCAAAAAUGCGUCAACAAAAUCUUCACCUUCCUCGCUAACAGUG